rnacentral:rRNA from 1 species
CCUACGGGUGGCUGCAGUAAGGAAUAUUGGACAAUGGACGCAAGUCUGAUCCAGCCAUCCCGCGUGGAGGAAUAAAGCCCUAUGGGUUGUAAACUCCUUUAGCUAGGGAAUAAAUCAUUGGAUUCAUCCGAUGUUGAAGGUACCUAGAGAAUAAGCACCGGCUAACUCCGUGCCAGCAGCCGCGGUAAUACGGAGGGUGCAAGCGUUAUCCGGAUUUACUGGGUUUAAAGGGUGCGUAGGUGGUUUAAUAAGUCAGUGGUGAAAUUUACCCGCUU